rnacentral:rRNA from 1 species
UACGUAGGGGGCAAGCGUUGUCCGGAUUUAUUGGGCGUAAAGAGCGUGUAGGCGGCCAAACAGGUCAGCUGUGAAAACUCGAGGCUCAACCUCGAGACGUCGGUUGAAACCGUAUGGCUAGAGUCCGGAAGAGGAGAGUGGAAUUCCCGGUGUAGCGGUGAAAUGCGCAGAUAUCGGGAAGAACACCCGUGGCGAAGGCGGCUCUCUGGGACGGUACUGACGCUGAGACACGAAGGCCAGGGGAGCAAACGGG